GAUGAACGCUGGCGGCGUGCUUAACACAUGCAAGUCGAACGAAGCACUUAUGAAAGAUCCUUCGGGUGAUAGAUUAAGUGACUGAGUGGCGGACGGGUGAGUAACGCGUGGGUAACCUGCCUCAUACAGGGGGAUAACAGUUAGAAAUGACUGCUAAUACCGCAUAAGCGCACAGUACUGCAUGGUACAGUGUGAAAAACUCCGGUGGUAUGAGAUGGACCCGCGUCUGAUUAGGUAGUUGGUAGGGUAACGGCCUACCAAGCCGACGAUCAGUAGCCGGGCUGAGAGGUUGCCGGCACAUUGGGACUGAGACACGGCCCAAAACUCCUACGGGAGCAGCAGUGGGGAAUAUUGGGACAAU
rnacentral:rRNA from 1 species